UGUGUGUGUGUGUGUGUGUGUGUGUGUGUGUGUGUGUGUGUGUGUGUGUGUGUGUGUGUGUGUGUGUGGUGAUGCAGAGCGCUGAGAGUGAACUGGAACAUGUGGAAAGAUGAGGAAUGAAAUUGAAAGCGCAAAAUCCUGUGUGUGUGUGUGUGUGGUUUCACUGUAAAUCAGUUUUCAUUGAUUAAACAUCAUUCUCCGUCUCA